AUCAAUUAGCUAGUAAUAGAGUUGACCAAGGAAGCUUGGCAGACGAGCGAGCGCCGCCGCCGCCACACCAGCGACAGGAACGCCGCCGCCUCAUCCACUCCGCCGUCGCCACACCAGCAUCGAAGCUGCCUCCGCCAAACCAGCGAUCAGGGACGUAGUCGCCUCAUCCCCUCCGCUGCUGCCACACCAGCGAUCGCCGCUGCCUCCGCCACACGACCAGGGACGUCGUCGCCGCCACACCAGCGACCGCUGCCGCCACAUCGAGCAGACAUGGAUUGUCAAGGCAAUGGCGAGGAGGAGCAAGUAUCACCUUGUGGUUAGCAAGACCUUUAGAAGUGAGGACGAAGGAUAUAGUUUUAUAAUAAGCACACAAAGGUCAAAGGUUUCAGUGUUUGGAAGGAGGAGGUGAAGUGUUUGCCAGCAUACAGACUCGAUUCAAGCAGCUUUACACGUGCUUUAAAGAAGGAUACCGUACAUUGGGGAACUUCGAAAGACCUGAACCAAAAAGAACUUCAAAAACGAUCUGAGCUGAGUGCGAGUACCGGAGAAUGGUCCGUGAAGGAUUUUGAGGACAAGCAUAACCAUGCACUCGUACUUGUGGUAGCAGUUUUGCAAUGUUAUUACAUGAUCUAUUUGUUGCUGAAACUAAAUGUGCUUGCAAAAAAUUCUACUUAUUUAGGUUAUUGUACUUGGUACUUAUUUGCUGUCAAACAUUGACAUUUGGAGCGAUGUCAACCGCGAAUAUGUUUCACAUAUGGUGCUGUCAAAAUAGCUUUCCUUUUUA